UACGUAGGCAGCGAGCGUUGUUCGGAGUUACUGGGCGUAAAGCGUGCGUAGGCGGUUUUGUAAGUUUGGUGUGAAAUCUCCCGGCUCAACUGGGAGGGUGCGCCGAAAACUGCAAGGCUGGAGUGUGGGAGAGGUAGGCGGAAUUCCUGGUGUAGCGGUGAAAUGCGUAGAUAUCGGGAGGAACACCAGUGGCGAAGGCGACUUCCUGGCCUGUUCUUGACGCUGAGGCGCGAAAGCUAGGGUAGCAAACGGG
rnacentral:rRNA from 1 species